rfam:Zootermopsis nevadensis contig33985, whole genome shotgun sequence.
GCCACGGUGGUCUAGCGGUCAGAACACUAGCCUUGUAAUGCUGGGGUCCCGGGUUCAAUUCCCGGUGGUGCUC